rnacentral:rRNA from 1 species
UACGAAGGGGGCUAGCGUUGCUCGGAAUGACUGGGCGUAAAGGGCGCGUAGGCGGAUGGCACAGUCAGAUGUGAAAUUCCCGGGCUUAACCUGGGGGCUGCAUUUGAUACGUGUUGUCUUGAGUUCGGAAGAGGGUCGUGGAAUUCCCAGUGUAGAGGUGAAAUUCGUAGAUAUUGGGAAGAACACCGGUGGCGAAGGCGGCCAACUGGACGGUGACUGACACUGAGACGCGAAAGCGUGGGGAGCAAACAGG